rnacentral:sRNA from 12 species
GACCCAAGGGUAGUACUGACCAUCUUCGUCUCUGGGAAGAUAAUUUUAAAUGGGGCUAAAAAUAGA